AUCUUGAGACCUAUAUAUCAUUUCAUAUUGAAUCAAAAUAUUGAUUUACAUUCAUAUUCAAGAUCUUCCUUUGUGUUCUUAAAGUUUUGGGGGGAUUACACUUGUGCUUUGGUGUUAAAUCCUUUACAAGGCUUGAUAAUCCUACAAACCGUUUGCCAAAACCCUUAAGCAUCUCAUUCAAUCCCGAGAGGGGGCAAAUAUAGUUUGAGAACAACGAUCCCGUGUUCAAACCUCAAAUUCGUUCUUGACGUAUUUCGUGAUUUCUAUUCAUUUUGUUUCUAUAAUUUUGUUGUUGUUUAUUCUCCAACCCCUUAUUUUCCAACAACCUUUUUUCCACAAAGCUAAUCUGUACAGUCAAUAUCAAAGGAGGAGGAGAUGAGCUUAUAAGCUUUUCUUUAUAUGGCACAUGUGUAGGAGUUGAAAAGGAACCAAAAAACUUCUAUCAAAUCCUUACACAAAAGUACGUAGAUCCUCUAUGUUGAAAUCAAAGAAAAAAAAAAGCGAAAAAGUACCUUGAUCCAUAGAUAUGAGUGUUUUGAAUGGGUUAUAAUCUUCCAAUUGUUAGAUAAUUCCCUUGAAAAUUCUUCUCUGUUGAUGGGGAUAAAGAGAGA
rnacentral:lncRNA from 1 species